rnacentral:rRNA from 1 species
GCUUGUCUCAAAGAUUAAGCCAUGCAUGUCUCAGUAUAAGCUUCUAUACGGUGAAACUGCGAAUGGCUCAUUAAAACAGUUACAGUUCAUUUGAUGGUUACUCCUUACAUGGAUAACUGUGGUAAUUCUAGAGCUAAUACAUGCUAUCAAGCCCGACUUCUUGAAGGGUUGUAUUUAUUAGACUUAAGCCAAUAUUCCUUGUGUCUAUUGCGAUGAUUCAUAAUAACUGAUCGAAUCUCAAAUUUGAGAUAAAUCAUUCAAGUUUCUGCCCUAUCAGCUUUCGAUGGUAGUGUAUUGGA